GCAUCUCAAACUAAUCUCCAUCAAGUUGUUAUCGCCCCACAUGAUGCCAUGUUUAAAUAGGAAGAGAUAGGGCGUUUUUAGGUGAGAGUUCAAACUUCCUUGGACUCUUGAUUUAUGAUGCCGCCCACCCAUCCUAUUUGUGCCAAUAUAUCUCACAGAGAAAGGAGUUUAACAUGAACUCUUCCAUGCUUAAAAACCUCACGUCUUGGAGGAAAAAUAGGUGCAAAUUAAAAGUAGGCAUGGGGCUUCCUUAUUGCGCAU
rnacentral:lncRNA from 1 species